AUCCUUCUGGUUCAGACAAAUGAUGAUUGGUUAGGUCACGUCUUUACGUGACAUGUGCUACCUCCUUGUUACGCAAGCACAUUGACCAUCUGAUA